rnacentral:rRNA from 1 species
UUGGAGGGCAAGUCUGGUGCCAGCAGCCGCGGUAAUUCCAGCUCCAAUAGCGUAUAUUAAAGUUGCUGCAGUUAAAAAGCUCGUAGUUGAAUUUCGGGACCAUCAUGUCGGUCGUGCCUCGGUACGUACUGGUAUUGUUGGUUUCUCCCUUCUGACGAACCAUGAUGUCAUUUAUUUGGUGUUGUGGGGAAUCAGGACUGUUACUUUGAAAAAAUUAGAGUGUUUAAAGCAGGCUCACGCUUGAAUACAUUAGCAUGGAAUAAUGAAAUAGGACGUUUGAUUCUAUUUUGUUGGUUUCUAGGAUCGACGUAAUGAUUAAUAGGGAUAGUUGGGGGCAUUAGUAUUCAAUUGUCAGAGGUGAAAUUCUUGGAUUUAUUGAAGACCAACUACUGCGAAAGCAUUUGCCAAGGAUGUUUUCAUUAAUCAAGAACGAAAGUUAGGGGAUCGAAGACGAUCAGAUACCGUCGUAGUCUUAACCAUAAACUACGCCGACUAGGGAUCGGAUGAUGUUAAUUUUUUAAUGACUCAUUCGGCGCCUUACGGGAAAC